GAGUUGAUCCGUGGCUCAGAUUGAACGCUGGCGGCAUGCCUUACACAUGCAACGUUCGAACGGCAGCACUGGAGCAAUCCUGGUGGCGAGUGGCGAACGGGUGAGUAAUAUAUCGGAACGUGCCCAGUCGUGGGGGAUAACGCAGCGAAAGCUGUGCUAAUACCGCAUACGAUCUAUGGAUGAAAGCGGGGGACUCGUAAGGGCCUCGCGCGAUUGGAGCGGCCGAUAUCAGAUUAGCUAGUUGGUGGGGUAAAAGCUCACCAAGGCGACGAUCUGUAGCUGGUCUGAGAGGACGACCAGCCACACUGGAACUGAGACACGGUCCAGACUCCUACGGGAGGCAGCAGUGGGGAAUUUUGGACAAUGGGCGCAAGCCUGAUCCAGCAAUGCCGCGUGCAGGAUGAAGGCCUUCGGGUUGUAAACUGCUUUUGUACGGAACGAAACGGUUCUCUUUAAUAAAGAGGGCUAAUGACGGUACCGUAAGAAUAAGCACCGGCUAACUACGUGCCAGCAGCCGCGGUAAUACGUAGGGUGCGAGCGUUAAUCGGAAUUACUGGGCGUAAAGCGUGCGCAGGCGGUGAUGUAAGACAGAUGUGAAAUCCCCGGGCUCAACCUGGGACCUGCAUUUGUGACUGCAUCGCUAGAGUACGGUAGAGGGGGAUGGAAUUCCGCGUGUAGCAGUG
rnacentral:rRNA from 1 species